rnacentral:rRNA from 1 species
AAUCCACCUGGGGAGUACGUUCGCAAGAAUGAAACUCAAAGGAAUUGACGGGGCCGGCACAAGCGGAGGAACAUGUGGUUUAAUUCGAUGAUACGCGAGGAACCUUACCCGGGCUUGAAAUGCAUCUGACAGGGGCGAGAGACGCCCUUUUCCUUCGGGACAGAUGUGUAGGUGCUGCAUGGUUGUCGUCAGCUCGUGCCGUGAGGUGUCGGCUUAAGUGCCAUAACGAGCGCAACCCUCAUCAUUAGUUACCAUCAGGUCAAGCUGGGGACUCUAAUGAGACUGCCAUCGUAAGAUGCGAGGAAGGUGGGGAUGACGUCAAAUCAGCACGGCCCUUACGUCCGGGGCGACACACGUGUUACAAUGGGUGGUACAAAGGGCAGCUACCUGGCGACAGGAUGCUAAUCUCCAAAACCACUCUCAGUUCGGAUCGGAGUCUGCAACUCGACUCCGUGAAGCUGGAUUCGCUAGUAAUCGCGCAUCAGCCACGGCGCGGUGAAUACCGUUCCCGGGGCCUUGUACACACCGCCCGUCAAGCCAUGGAAGCCGGGGGUUACCUGAAGUCCGUAACCGUCAAGGAGCGGCCUAGGGUAAAACUGGUGACUGGGGCUAAGUCGUAAC